UCAACAUUUGCUCUGAUACCACUUCUGUCACACCCGGAUUUAAGGAACAAAGCCGGGUGCAUCUCAUACAUGCGCCAAGAAGACAACAUAUAUAAUAACAGAGUGUAUAGAGAUAAAUGUCAUAAUACAUCAGAGUAUUUAUUACAUAGCGGAAGUCUUAUUACAAAAUAAAGAUAAAUAUAAAACGAACUAAGGAUCGUCGGCGCCAAUGUCGACUGAGAAACGCCACCUAGAUCAAGUCGAAUGCCUCAGUGUUAGGCGACUCCUCUUCGACCACCUGUUCUUCUCCUGUGGGGGGUGUGAGACAGCAAGAGUGAGCUCACAUACGUUCAUAGCUCAACAAGUCAUGGGGAAUAAUGUGACACGAACUCACCAAAGGUGGGAGUUCAUGAAGUGUAAGGCUAAUCAAUGAAAUAGAGGCUGAGGCUGAGCAUUGCUUUUAUAAGUUGGUCAAAAUUUUAUUAGCAAUUACUAAGUGUAAGUAAAUACCAAAUCUUAAUAAUAAUAAAGAAAAGUAUUAGUAAAAUAAUCCCAAAUGCGAUGCAAAUGUCAAAUUAAAUUUAAGUUCCAUAAAUUAAUCAUGUGAGGGUCCGAGCCGCUCAUGACCGUGAGCACGGCUAGUAUACCAGUUUUACACUCUGCAGAGGUUGCGCAUCUUUACCCACAAGUCAUGUUACCCAUCUGCCAAGAGAUGGCCAAUCCCAUACACCUCUACCGAGGAGGCGAGGCAGGGUAACACUACGAGGCCUUUACAAAGUUCCACUAGCUUCAGAAAUCCCGCUACAGUUUAUAGGAAGCUCCAAUGCAGGGUUCUUGCCUGACCGCCAUCGCAGCAAAAUCAACCAAGGACCUCCCUACACUGACCACUCCCCUACUGCCCUUGCCCCUUUCGGGUAAGGAAGACCUCCACUAGCUUUCCUAGUUAAUCAGCCAAGGGCGUCCCAUUAUACCCUUGUGGUAGCACUGUUUUCCCGGGUGGUCGCUCCAUGUUCCCAUUAAUUUAAUGAUCUUAACAUGAACAGUAAUAAUAACAAGAUAAUAACAGAAUAAUCAUGAAUAGUGUAUCUUCAUACCCAAAUCCACAUAAAGCAAUAGCAGGUACUACCCAAAGAAAUAUUUCAGUGGUGAACAAGGUAUAAAGAUAGCCAAAACUAGGGUAACCUAUUGGGUCCCAUCAAAAUUAACCUAUGCAGAUCAUUAUAAUUAAUAAGAACAUGGCUGGGAAAAGUAAGUGAUCAAGGGCACAACUUGCCUUCAAUGAGCUCCUGCUCAGCUACUUCUACUUGUUGAACCUCAGAUUCCACAGUGGCUUGCUCGUCUACUCGCAUCAACACAAUACAUACAUAAUAUAGCAAAAAUUAACAUUGCACCAAACAUAUAAAUAAAAUACACAGUAAGAAUCUACAUAUUAAAAUGAAAUCAUAGGAACUGGAAUCACUAAAUUUGGAGUUAUAGAAUUCAAGUUAUGAAUUUCCUAAGGUUUAAUGAGAUUAAAAUAGGAUUAGAUGAGAAAUUAAUUUUCUUACUGCUUUCAUGUCAAAACAGAGACAUUAGAUGAUAGAGAAUAUUAUUACAAAAUUUUAGAAAUUGGAAUGGUUCAAUUUGGAUCAAAAAUGAAAUUUCUAUGAAUUUUACAAGUUUCUAGAUUUGUUUUUGUAUUAAAAAUGAAUUUCUAUAUGUAUUUCCCUAUUUUAUUCUCCUCUGGACUGGGCGACAAAAUUGCAGAAAGCGCGAGGGCUCUGGCGCAAAUGUUACUAAGACUCAGAAAACCCACCAAGUGGACUGCGGGUUGAUUUCCAGAGAGGUGAGGGUCUCUUUAGAAAAAUUGAACCGCGAAGGGGUACGGGCGGUUCUCGGCCGUUGGAUCACCAGCCGAGGGCUCAGAUUAGAUCGUUCAUCCCCGAACCGGUAUGCAUCGCCAGCCGCUGGAUCCUAUAUCUACGGCCCUAAUUUAAAGCGAUGAACAGGUAAACUAUUCUCUAAUCCUAGCCAUCCGUGAACAAAUCAACGGCCUGGAGUCCUCGUUGAUCCGCACCCUAUCUAGACCGCCGAAUCGCGAUCGGACGAUGGACGCAUAUCCAACAACAGUGGACCGCCCAACCGGCGGCGCGGACGCCAGGCGCGGUGGCGCCAUGGCCGGACCUCCGAGCGCGGUGAUUUAGCGCCCGAAAUUCUAUGCCGUUGGGUGCUACGCAAUCAUAAAGAUCAGGCGGACUCUGUGGUGGAAUCAAUUCCGUGAAUCGACGAUGGGUCAGGCCGAAUCACGGCAGCAUUCAAGUCGCGGCAGAGAUGCACGUCGGUCAGAUAGUUUUCGGCAUCCUACAACCCAAUUGAUCCAAGUAUCCCAGCACACUAGGGCAACGCAUAGAGGGGACGAAGGCGGACAGGGCAAGGGUCCUCAUACCAAGUAUUCUGCCGCAGGGAGGUACGACCACGCCGGGGCGAGGUUCCGCGGUGUCCAUGUAGCGACGGCGAGAAAUUCCGCCCGCACGAAGCCGCCUCCGCCCAAUCGCCUGCCACCGAACGGUUCCUCGCGUUGCGCCCGCCGAUUCCCAACGCCAAACAGGACGUUGACCACGCACUGGUGGCGGCAGGGGACUUCCGCCGUGGAUGCGCACACCAGCUUCCUCGCCCACGCCCCUUGCCUGACCGGAGUGGAAAAACCCUGAACCCAGGUGGCUAUCGACGGUGCACGAGGUAGCGGACCAAGGGGGCGCCCCACGCUCCAGGUUUUAUGGGGAGGGCGAGCCCGGAGCGAUCGGAGCGUCCACGGCCACCUUGAGGAGCAGCACCGUUGGUUUCGCGGUUAGUUGAAGAUGCCUGACGCUU
rnacentral:lncRNA from 1 species